rnacentral:sRNA from 1 species
UUGCUAAUCCUACGAGCUACAAUUCAGC